UGCUAGUGAAUGGUAGUGAAUGCUGUACAG
rnacentral:piRNA from 1 species